AAUCAACGCCGGCGGCGUGCCUAACACAUGCAAGUCGAGCGGGAAAGGGGGGCUUCGGCCCCCUGAGUAUAGCGGCGGACGGGUGAGUAACACGUGGGUAAUUUGCCCUUGGGUGUGGAAUAACUCAGGGAAACUUGAGCUAAUACCGCAUGACAUCCCCUUCACACACGAGUCGGGGGAUCAAAGCCGGGGACCCUUCGGGGCCUGGCGCCUGAGGAGAAGCCCGCGCCCGAUUAGCUAGUUGGUGAGGUAAUGGCUCACCAAGGCUUCGAUCGGUAGCCGGCCUGAGAGGGGCGGACGGCCACACU
rnacentral:rRNA from 1 species